UGAAACUAAGGAGGAGGAUUACGACAGAUUCGUCAAUGUACACCAGAAGGCGAAAUUAUUCCUGGCACAACUUUGCUUGCCUUAUCUCAAAGAAACAAAAGGUAAUAUAAUCUACCUUUCGAGUAACAGUUCCACGAUACCGCAACCGAGAAUAAUAGUUUACUGCAUGGUAAAAGUAGCUAUUGAUAUGCUUACAAAAUGUCUAGCCAAAG